GAUGAAGAACGUAGUGAAAUGCGAUACGUAAUGUGAAUUGCAGAAUUCAGUGAAUCAUCGAAUCUUUGAACGCAUAUUGCGCUCUCUGGUAUUCCGGAGAGCAUGCUUGUUUGAGUAUCAGUAAACACCUCAACUUCCAUAUCUUUUUUGAAAUGGGAGUUGGACUUGAGUGAUCCCAACGCUUUUCCUCACCGAAAAGUGGCGGGUUACUUGAAAUGCAGGUGCAGCUGGACUUUUCUCUGAGCUAUAAGCAUAUCUAUUUAGUCUGCCUAAAAAACAGAUUAUUACCUUUGCUGCAGCUAACAUAAAGGAGAUUAGUUCUUGUGCUGACUGAUGCAGGAUUCACAAAGACGGCUUCGGCCGACUUUGUAAACUCGAUCUCAAAUCAAGUAAGACUACCCGCGGAACUUAAGCAUAUCAAUAAGCGGAGGA
rnacentral:misc_RNA from 1 species